GCAGUAGCCCCGUCUUUUGCCUCUGUCCUGACGGAGGCGGGACUUCCUGUUUCGUGUUCCCUGGGACCUCCAAAGGGAUACUGGGGCUGAGAGGGAGAAUGUCUACGUCCUGUGGCAGCGGAUCAAGCAGUGCAUUAGUUCGGGCCUGCUUCCGUAGUUCUCACUGAUUCGUGCAGUUAUCCACACUCUCUCCAAAGGCGCUUUCAGGCGGCCUUGGUGUUCUGAGUGCGCAAGAGUGUGUGUCCGCAGGUGGAGAAAGGGCAUGGAGGAGCCGCCACCGGCUCCCCCGAGCUUCUUUUGCAGGGCACGGCGUCCUUCCUCCCGAGUCUUUGCUGCCGGAGCUGUGGCUGCCGACUCGGAAUCUCUGGUGGAGAAUCAGAAGUUGCCUUCCUUAGUCCAAGAACCCUAUUACCCGGAAUCCGGUUGGGAUCGCCUCCGGGAGCUGUUUGUCAGAGAUGAACAACAGAGAAUUUCAAAGGAACUUGAGAAUAUCUAUAGGGCAGCAGCUUCAGCAGGCAUCAUUGGCUGGGCAUAUGGUGGAAUACCAGCUUUUGUUCAUGCUAAACAACGCUACAUUGAGCAGAGCCAAGCAGAAAUUUAUCAUAACCGGUUUGAUGCUGUGCAAUGUGCGCAUCGUGCUGCCACACGAGGCUUCAUUCGAUAUGGCUGGCGCUGGAGUUGGAGAACUGCAGUGUUUGUGACUAUAUUCAACUGUCACUGGAGGUCUUUUCAGAAUGAAUUUAGGCAUUCGAGGCCUAGUGGCUGGUGGUAUAAUUGGAGGCUUGUUGGGCACUCCUGUAGGAGGCCUGAUGAUGGCACUUCAGAAGUACUAUGGUGA
rnacentral:lncRNA from 1 species